GCGCGAAAACUGUGCAAUGCGCGAAAGCGCGACACGGGGAGCCUGAGUGCCUUGGCUUUUUGUCAAGGCUUUUCUGAUGCCUAAAAAGCAUCAGGAAUAAGGGCUGGGCAAGACGGGUGCCAGCCGCCGCGGUAACACCCGCAGCUCGAGUGGUGAUCACUUUUAUUGAGUCUAAAGCGUUCGUAACCGGUCUUAUAAAUCUUCAGAUAAAUUCUUCCGCUUAACGGAAGAACUUCUGAAGAGACUGUAAGACUUGGGACCGGGUGAGGUUGAAUGUACUUUCAGGGUAGGGGUAAAAUCCUGUAAUCCUGAAAGGACGACCGGUGGCGAAAGCGUUCAACUAGAACGGAUCCGACGGUGAGGGACGAAGGCUAGGGGAGCAAACCGG
rnacentral:rRNA from 2 species